GACAGAGGGGGCAAGCGUUGCUCGGAAUUACUGGGCGUAAAGGGCGCGUAGGCGGAAUGGCAAGUCGGUCGUGAAAUCCUUCGGCUCAACCGAAGAACGUCGAUCGAAACUGCCGUUCUUGAGGAUUGCAGAGGAGACUGGAAUUCCCGGUGUAGCGGUGAAAUGCGCAGAUAUCAGGAGGAACACCGGUGGCGAAGGCGGUUCUCUGGGCCUUACCUGACGCUGAGGAGCGAAAGCAUGGGGAGCAAACAGG
rnacentral:rRNA from 1 species